GGUGCUGUGAGUGGGAGUGUGUGCUCUGGAUUUUGAUAUUUCCCCCCAAUUCAUAAAGAAGUCGUCUGUUUGGAAGCGUGACAGUCCGUGUGGAGUGUUCCCCGGAUUACAUAAAGUGAAUUAUAUAAUACGAAUCCUCAGUUUUAUCCCGGUGUAUUUGAUAUAAGGAAAAUAACAGGAGAUAUCUUGGGAGUACCUUGGCAGGACCGGUCGACGGGGUGGAUCGUGCGUUACAACAAAGGACAGGUAAACGACAUGGGCGGAAUGGCAGCAGUUUGGGAGCCGGAUAUACAAGAUAUGAAGAGAGUGGUGUAAAACUGUCGGCCGUCAACACACCGUGAAGUACUCAGUAAGUGUUUAUACUGUAAUGUUCUGUGUUAGUGUGUUUACCACCUUGGGAUACGAACCUAAACGACUUUAUAC